UCCCUGGUGGCUCAGAUGGUAAAGAAUCUGCCUGCAAUGCAGGAGACCUAGGUUCGAUCCCUGGUUAGGGAG
rnacentral:tRNA from 1 species